AUUGAACGCUGGCGGCAGGCUUAACACAUGCAAGUCGAGCGGAGUGAUGGUGCUUGCACUAUCACUUAGCGGCGGACGGGUGAGUAAUGCUUAGGAAUCUGCCUAUUAGUGGGGGACAACAUCUCGAAAGGGAUGCUAAUACCGCAUACGUCCUACGGGAGAAAGCAGGGGAUCACUUGUGACCUUGCGCUAAUAGAUGAGCCUAAGUCGGAUUAGCUAGUUGGUGGGGUAAAGGCCUACCAAGGCGACGAUCUGUAGCGGGUCUGAGAGGAUGAUCCGCCACACUGGGACUGAGACACGGCCCAGACUCCUACGGGAGGCAGCAGUGGGGAAUAUUGGACAAUGGGGGGAACCCUGAUCCAGCCAUGCCGCGUGUGUGAAGAAGGCCUUAUGGUUGUAAAGCACUUUAAGCGAGGAGGAGGCUCUUUUGGUUAAUACCCAAGAUGAGUGGACGUUACUCGCAGAAUAAGCACCGGCUAACUCUGUGCCAGCAGCCGCAGUAA
rnacentral:rRNA from 1 species